CCCUCUGUUAUAUGGUUCAUAACAUACAAGAGGGGAGAUGACGGUACUUCCAGUAUCACAGUGGGUGUACCCCCUCUGUGGUAUGGUUCUUGUAGUAUAAAAUGGGGGAGAAGACUUUACUCCCAAUAUAACAGGGGAUGUAAGGAAUGCCAUGAGAAAAUGGCACUGCAUUUACCAAGUCACCACCAGAUUCUUGUGCAACGAUAAAGUUUGGGACUAUGUAUUAACAAUUUCAUAAAUAAAUAAUCAACAAUUUUCUUUCCACUAUUUUGAAGAGUCAGAUGCCUCCCUCCUCCCCCACAGAGGUCUCCCACCAUUCUAACCUCACAGGGCUUGGGGUGGGAUGAGAUUUAAAUUUAUAUGAAAAUACUUACAAAUAUUUUAAAAUUAUUUCUUACUGUUGCUAUAUUUAUCAUACAAAAAUAUGAAUACUUAAUCAUUUUUAGGUGAGGCUAGUGUAAAAAAAUGGACCUUCCAAUCAAAACUCUAUAAAUAAAGGCAGCCUUCCUGGCUUACAUGCUGCCUUCCCUGCUUACCAGCUAUAUAAUUUUGGCUAUGUUACUUAACAGUUUCUCAUGUAUAAAAAUGAUAUGAUGACAAUAUGAUAUUACUUUCUGAGGGUUAUUGUGGAAAUUCAAUUAAUUAAUAUCUGUGAA
rnacentral:lncRNA from 1 species